UACAGAGGUGGCAAGCGUUGUUCGGAAUUACUGGGCGUAAAGGGCGCGUAGGCGGCCUACUAAGUCAGACGUGAAAUCCCCCGGCUUAACCUGGGAACUGCGUCUGAUACUGGAAGGCUUGAGGAUGGGAGAGGGAUGUAGAAUUCCAGGUGUAGCGGUGAAAUGCGUAGAUAUCGUAAGGAAGACCAGUGGCGAAGGCGGGUCUCUGGACAGUUCCUGACGCUGAGGCACGAAGGCCAGGGGAGCAAACGGG
rnacentral:rRNA from 1 species